GAUGAACGCUAGCUACAGGCUUAACACAUGCAAGUCGAGGGGCAUCAGGAAGAAAGCUUGCUUUCUUUGCUGGCGACCGGCGCACGGGUGAGUAACACGUAUCCAACCUGCCCUUUACUCGGGGAUAGCCUUUCGAAAGAAAGAUUAAUACCCGAUGGUAUAAUGAUUCCGCAUGGUUUCAUUAUUAAAGGAUUCCGGUAAAGGAUGGGGAUGCGUUCCAUUAGGUUGUUGGUGAGGCAACGGCUCACCAAGCCUUCGAUGGAUAGGGGUUCUGAGAGGAAGGUCCCCCACAUUGGAACUGAGACACGGUCCAAACUCCUACGGGAGGCAGCAGUGAGGAAUAUUGGUCAAUGGGCGCUAGCCUGAACCAGCCAAGUAGCGUGAAGGAUGAAGGCUCUAUGGGUCGUAAACUUCUUUUAUAUAAGAAUAAAGUGCAGUAUGUAUACUGUUUUGUAUGUAUUAUAUGAAUAAGGAUCGGCUAACUCCGUGCCAGCAGCCGCGGUAAUACGGAGGAUCCGAGCGUUAUCCGGAUUUAUUGGGUUUAAAGGGAGCGUAGGUGGACUGGUAAGUCAGUUGUGAAAGUUUGCGGCUCAACCGUAAAAUUGCAGUUGAUACUGUCAGUCUUGAGUACAGUAGAGGUGGGCGGAAUUCGUGGUGUAGCGGUGAAAUGCUUAGAUAUCACGAAGAACUCCGAUUGCGAAGGCAGCUCACUGGACUGCAACUGACACUGAUGCUCGAAAGUGUGNGUAUCAAACAGG
rnacentral:rRNA from 1 species